GAGGAGUUAGUUAAUUAUAACCUCGCUUUGUCAAGACGAAAUAACGAGUUUAAACCUCGUACCCCUCU
rnacentral:tRNA from 1 species